AAGACCUCCACUAAAUGAAAAUAAAGAGCGCUAAAAUUUUCCCACGUUAUUUUUCUAGUUUCCCUCAUUUUUUUCCCCAAACCCUUUCUCCAUUCUUUCUCUCUCACUCCCCCAAUCUGAAGGAAAACAAAAGAGACAUUGUUCCCCAAACCCUUUCCCACGUCUCAAAAAAUUAGCAGUGGAACUUCAAUCACUGCUAAUAUUAUUUACCAUUGUUCAAGUAAUCUGUUCUAUUGGCUUUGUUAUUAAUUUUAUUCAGAUGUAUUGCCAUUUGCUUCAGUCAGAGUAAUUUCUCCGCACAGACUAUUAGGUCAUUUCAAGUCUCUUGUAGGGAAUAAAGCACAACCAGAAGGCUCCAUAGCUGAAGGUUACAUAGUUGAAGAAGCUUUAACUCUCUUUUCCCGCUAUUUUGAGGAUAUUGAAUCAAGGGCAAACCAAUUGGAGGAUUCACCGUAUUCCGCUUGACUCCUUUGGAGAAGACUCAAGCUCAUCGAUAUGUGUUACUUAACUGUGAUGCUGUGAAGCCAUAUAUUGAUGAAUUUAGGGAGCACAUAAGAAGGAGUUCAAGAGGCCGAAAGCCUUCAGUAACAGAGAUAGAGAGGAGAGUUAAUAGGGAGUUCCCUGAUUGGUUUCCAAAGCGAAUUAUGAAUCCGGACAUAGCAGACACGAUCUCUGUUGACAUGCAAUUCUUAGCACGAGGUCCAAUGCCAGAUGGAAGGAGGUUCACUGCUUAUAACAUUAAUGGAUUCAACUUUCGGACUUAGUCUAGAGAACAAGGAUUGAAAACUCAAAAUAGUGGAGUUUUUCUUACCUCUGACACUUCUUGUAUUGCAUCUAAUGCUGAUAGAAAUGCAAGACAAGCAGACUUGCCAUAUUAUGAAAAGCUAGAAGGUAUAAUUGAGCUUAAUUAUUAUGGCCGAUUCACGGUUGUACUCUUCAAGUGCCAAUGGGCGGACACUACUCGAGAUAGAGGGUUCAAAAGAGACGUUUGGAAUGUUAACUGUGUCAAUUUUUCAAGAUUGAUUCAUAUUGGUGAUCGUGAGGAUCAUGAUCCUUAUAUUGAAGCAUCUCAAGCAAAUAUGGUAUACUAUGUUGAUGAUGAUACUGACGAAGGAUAGAGUGUGGCCGUACAUCUAAAGCCAAGAGAUUUGUUUGACAUGGAAAUGGCGGAUGAAGAAGAAAUAUACGAGAAUGAACCAUUCCAACAACAAGAAUUUGAACAGAUUUUUGAUGUUAAUUAUGAGAAUAUCCAAGUUUCAACAGAGGAGCAUAUGCCUAAAUAGGAUUCAGCUUUUCUAGUUUCUAUGUUGUUCAUGUCACAGAACAUGUGACCUCGUCAGUUCAUGCUGCAGCACAGCCGGAUCCGUCCGUACAGACUACAACACAAUCAACUCCAUCAGUUCAAGCUGCAUCACAAGGCGUGGUGCAUGUGAGUCUACGUCGCAUUGGACAGUAGAUGCGAUAAGUAAACUUUUCUUGCUUGGUUUCAUCUCUAUUUCAAACUGCUGAAUCUUCUUUUAAUGUUUCUUUAUUAAAAUUGGUUACUAUUUUAACCUUCCUUUUUUGUAUUCACGUUGUUUUUGGUAUUUUAUAGAACUGUUGGUGCAAGUUUAUUUGUAGCAGCAGAUGUUCAAUUGGAGUAGUUCAAGAAAAUAAGUGAAAGAAACAAUAUGACUACAUGAUUCAUAUUAUUAAAAAGAAAAAUAUUGUAAUACUCUUUUCAACUUGUUUUAACUUUUCUAGUUACUAAAUGCUUUGAGAUUUCACGAAAUAUAAGAGAAUGUUAGUUCUGCUUGGUUUAACUUAGUGUU